rnacentral:rRNA from 1 species
GAUGAACGCUGGCGGCGUGCCUAAUACAUGCAAGCCGAGCGAACGGACGAGAAGCUUGCUUCUCUGAUGUUAGCGGCGGACGGGAGAGUAACACGUGGAUAACCUACCUAUAAGACUGGGAUAACUUCGGGAAACCGGAGCUAAUACCGGAUAAGAUUUUGAACCGCAUGGUUCAAAAGUGAAAGACGGUCUUGCUGUCACUUAUAGAUGGAUCCGCGCUGCAUUAGCUAGUUGGUAAGGUAACGGCUUAUCAAGGCAACGAGGCAUAGCCGACCUCAGGGAGUGGUCGGCCACCUUAGAGCUGGACCGCGGUCCAUGCUCCUACGAGACGCAGCAGUCGGGAAUCUGCGGCAGUGGGGGGAAGCCUGACAGAGCAGCGCCGCGCGAGAGACAGCGGCGUUCGGAGCGUGAAGCUGUGUUACUGGUGAAAAACAGCUGUGUAAGGAACUGUACACAGCUUGACGGUACCUAGUCAGAAAGCCACGGCUAACUACGUG